CUACUAUCCAGCGAAACCACAGCCAAGGGAACGGGCUUGGCGGAAUCAGCGGGGAAAGAAGACCCUGUUGAGCUUGACUCUAGUCCGACUUUGUCGAAUGACUUGAGAGGUGUAGGAUAAGUGGGAGCCCUUACGGGCGCAAGUGAAAUACCACUACUUUUAACGUUAUUUUACUUAUUCCGUGGGUCGGAAGCGGGGCAUG
rnacentral:ncRNA from 1 species